rnacentral:lncRNA from 1 species
GUAGGAAGAUGUGGCGAGAUGCACACACAAGAAGAAGCUAGUUGUGGACUUCAGUAUGCAUAAAAAUACUCAAACGAUGUGCACGGCAAAAAUAAAUCUCGAUGAUCCAUGGAUCGUGAUGACAGUGAUGAGUCAUGUGGAAUUUAGUUCGAGGGGGAGAUUGUUGGGCAUGUGAACAAACGUCCUACAUUGGUAGCUAAAAAGAUCGAUCGAAAAGCUACAUUUAAGGGGUAAAAUCUCUUAACGGUGAAAGACCUUUUGGGGAAAAUCGUGCAGGCUAGAUCCAAAACGGACAAUAUCGCACCAUGAAAAAGUAUAGGUAAAUAUUUUUCAAAUUGGAGGGAUGGAGGGAAUAAAUCUUUUUGGUUGUUGAAAAUGGCAUAUAUAAUAUAAAUAUUCAUUCAUAAAUUUACAAUUGACAUAGGAAUCAAUGUUUCACUUUCCAUGGAAAAGUUUAUUAAUAGUUCAAAAGUGUUUGGCAAUUACUUUUCAAAUGGUGGAAAUCUUGAUAUCCAUGGAAAAGAAUAGCGGAAGGAAAAAUCAAGUAUUUUCAGAAACAAAUUACCGUCGGCGUUAAGUCUGGCGUUUAUUUUACAUUGAAAUUAAAUCAUUUGUUGGUAACAUUAAAGUCAUAAAAUUCUUAGCUAUAGAAAUUUCAAAGAAAGCUACAUCACAGAAAUUCAUUCAAUUUGAUGUAUAAUCCCAACGCUUGCAAUUAAUUUAUUUAUGUGGAUCAAUUUUAUUAAAAAGAGAAUACUUUACUGUGAUCUAAUCAAGCAUAUUUAAAUAGCUAAAAGAGUAGGAAAAUGAAGCCAAGAAAGACUCUGUAAGUCAUGCUGUUGAAAUUUCAUUUGAAAACUACAACACACAAAAAUGAAGUCAAGAAAGCCUUUUUAAUUCUUAUCCUGGUUUUAUGUUUAUAUUUGUGGUCUGCAGCAGUUCACUCUCUCUCCCACACGCCCACGCUCGCGCGCACACCCACACCCACACAUAUAUUUGUUAAUCCUGCUGCAUCAUGUCACCACUUGUUCUUGUUCUUUCCUAAGAAGCAACCGAAGCUCUGAGCUAGCCGGUGCUCCCCGGUAACUCGCUCUCCCUCCUGCUUUUCCUUUGGCCGGAGCUAGUGGAUGAACCCCCCUUCGCCGGAAGAUCACACUCUAUGUAUGAGGUCAACGAAACCCCCUUCGCCGGAGAAUCACACUCUGUAUAUGAGGUCAACUUUGUUUCUUUUUUGGUUAUGUAUGUAUAAUUGAUGUUUUCCUGAGCCAACAGUCUACAGGAAACAACCUGGUGUGCAUACACUUGGCCCUCUCCAGACUCCACUUUGUAGGAUUAUGUUGGGUUUGUUGUUAUGUAUGUUUAAUAGACGUUGAACUCCUUUGGUGAAAAUCUUGCCUCUACCACCGCUGUAACGCCCCGUAAAAUUUCGUGCAAUGCGUUACCAUGUAAUAGCAUGUGCAUAGGAUAAGAAGCUUAAAAAUUGUGAAAAAUAUUUUUAAGUGUUAAUGAGACUUAGACUCAUUUUAACUAGUAAUCAUCGGAACUUUUAUUUUGGACCUUUCCGACCUCCAUUUUUAGAUUUUGUUGUUGCGUUG